CUUGAAUCCGGAAGGUGGAGGUUGCAGAUUGCGCCACUGCAUUCCAGCCUGGCGAGAGAGUGAGACUCUGUCUUAAAAAAAAAAGCCAUUAGGCCAGGCGUGGUAGCUCACUCCUAUAACCCCAGCACUUAGGGAGGCCAAGGCAGGUGGAUCACCUGAGGAAUAAUGCUUAUUACACACCUACCAAGUGCCAGACACUAACAAAUACCCUACUAUUUUAUGUCCCUAUCAAGGAGAACAAGUAUUCUAUUAAUCCCUACACUGUCCUAUGAGUUACAGCACACUUCUCUCUCAACAGAGGAGGAAACAGACUCAGAGAGAUGUAGUCAUUUGUUCAAGGUGACAAAACUAUCAUCUGUAAGUGCUGAGGUCUGUCUGACUCUUCAUGGUUGACAGUACCACAUCUAUCAAUAGUUUUCAGGGCGUGGUCCAGGGGCCAGUCCCUCUGUUCUCUCAGGAGCAUAGAGUGGAGUUUUCCAGAGGUUAUAGGACAUGUGGU
ensembl:lncRNA novel transcript, antisense to SUPT6H